rfam:Stegodyphus mimosarum contig67267, whole genome shotgun sequence.
GCCUUCGUUGUGUAGUGGUCAACAUGCUGGGCGCGUAUUCAAGAGGUCCGCGGUUCGACUCCCGGAGAGGGCA